rnacentral:lncRNA from 1 species
AAAAGUUGAGUUUAAGAGAUUUGAUUUUGUUUUUAGUUUUUGGAUGUGUUUAUUGGUAGGAUCUUAAGUUGGGUAUCUUAGAAUUUAUUUUUUUUUUAAUUUUUUUUUUGUAAUUUGUAAUUUAAAAAAAUCUUAUAUUUAUUGCAAAUUUAGAAUUUAGAAUUUGAAAACAUACAUAAAAGAGAAAUAUAAAAAAUACAAUAAAAAGGUUCAUGUCGUUUGUGGUUUAGAGAGAUAAAGAGAGGAAGAGUAAAAAAAAAAUAUCUGAGUAAAAAAAAAAAACUUAUUAUAUAUUUCUCACCUCACCCAAUCCUCGUCUGCCACGUGUCGUAUCUUAACCCUCAACAUAAAUCCUUCUCCAACUUACGUAUCUUAGUUAUAUUAAUUAAUUUUGAUUUAUUUUUUAACCUUAAUACUCUAACAUACUCUCUAAAUC